GGUUAAAAAGCUCGUAGUUGGAUUUCUGUCUAAAGCGGCCGGUCUCCACUAUGUGGGUGUAUCUGGUUCGGUUUGGGCAUCCUCUUGGGGAACGGUUCUGCGCUUGAUUGCGUGGGCCGGAAUUCAAGACUUUUACUUUGAGGAAAUUAGAGUGUUCACGGCAAGCUAUCGCUUUGAAUAUGUUAGCAUGGAAUAAUAAUAUAGGGCGUGAGUUCUAUUUUGUUGGUUUCUAGGAUUUACGCAAUGAUUAAUAGGGACAAUUGGGGGCAUUUGUAUUAAGGCGUCAGAGGUGGAAUUCUUAGAUUGCCUUACGACAAACUACUGCGAAAGCAUUUGCCAAGGAUGUUUUCAUUGAUCAAGAACGAAAGUAUGGGGAUCGAAAACGAUUAGAUACCGUUGUAGUCUAUACCAUAAACUAUACCAAUUAAAGAUGGGGCGUCGUUCGUUUAUGACUCGCUCUGCACCUUAUGAGAAAUCAAAAUUUUGGGGUUCCGGGGGGAGUAUGGUCGCAAGGCUGAAACUUAAAGGAAUUGACGGAAGGGCACCACCA
rnacentral:rRNA from 1 species